UCGACGAGAGACCUUCGGGUCUCUAGUGGCGAACGGGUGAGUAACACGUAGGGAACCUGCCCGCGCACCGGGAAUACGCUCUGGAAACGGAGAACAAAUCCCGAUGUACAGGAAGGAGGCAUCUUCUUUCUGUGAAACAUCCUCUAGGGGAUGGGGCGCGGAUGGACCUGCGGUGCAUUAGUUUGUUGGCGGGGUAAAGGCCCACCAAGACGAUGAUGCAUAGCCGGCCUGAGAGGGCGGACGGCCACAUUGGGACUGAGACACGGCCCAGACUCCUGCGGGAGGCAGCAGUAGGGAAUUUUCGUCAAUGGGCGCAACCCUGAUGCAGCGACGCCGCGUGAGUGAAGAAGUAAUUCGUUAUGUAAAGCUCUAUCAGCAGGGAAGAAAAUGACGGUACCUGAGUAAGAAGCCCCGGCUAACUACGUGCCAGCAGCCGCGGUAAUACGUAGGUGGCGAGCGUUAUCCGGAAUGAUUGGGCGUAAAGGGUGCGCAGGCGGUCCUGCAAGUCUGGAGUGAAACGCAUGAGCUCAACUCAUGCAUGGCUUUGGAAACUGGAGGACUGGAGAGCAGGAGAGGGCGGUGGAACUCCAUGUGUAGCGGUAAAAUGCGUAGAUAUAUGGAAGAACACCAGUGGCGAAGGCGGCCGCCUGGCCUGUUGCUGACGCUGAGGCACGAAAGCGUGGGGAGCAAAUAGGAUUAGAUACCCUAGUAGUCCACGCCGUAAACGAUGAGGACCAAGUGUUGGGGGUGAAACCUCAGUGCUGAAGUUAACGCAGUGAGUCCUCCGCCUGGGGAGUAUGCACGCAAGUGUGAAACUCAAAGGAAUUGACGGGGGCCCGCACAAGCGGUGGAGUAUGUGGUUUAAU
rnacentral:rRNA from 1 species